AGAACGAACGCUGGCGGCAUGCCUAAUACAUGCAAGUCGAACGAAGGCUUCGGCCUUAGUGGCGCACGGGUGCGUAACGCGUGGGAAUCUGCCCCUUGGUUCGGAAUAACAGUUGGAAACGACUGCUAAUACCGGAUGAUGACGAAAGUCCAAAGAUUUAUCGACCAAGGGAUGAGCCCGCGUAGGAUUAGCUAGUUGGUGAGGUAAAGGCUCACCAAGG
rnacentral:rRNA from 1 species